rnacentral:rRNA from 1 species
AAGGAUCAUUAAAGAAAUUUAAUAAUUUUGAAAAUGGAUUUUUUUUUUUGUUUUGGCAAGAGCAUGAGAGCUUUUACUGGGCAAGAAGACAAGAGAUGGAGAGUCCAGCCGGGCCUGCGCUUAAGUGCGCGGUCUUGCUAGGCUUGUAAGUUUCUUUCUUGCUAUUCCAAACGGUGAGAGAUUUCUGUGCUUUUGUUAUAGGACAAUUAAAACCGUUUCAAUACAACACACUGUGGAGUUUUCAUAUCUUUGCAACUUUUUCUUUGGGCAUUCGAGCAAUCGGGGCCCAGAGGUAACAAACACAAACAAUUUUAUUUAUUCAUUAAAUUUUUGUCAAAAACAAGAAUUUUCGUAACUGGAAAUUUUAAAAUAUUAAAAACUUUCAACAACGGAUCUCUUGGUUCUCGCAUCGAUGAAGAACGCAGCGAAAUGCGAUACGUAAUGUGAAUUGCAGAAUUCCGUGAAUCAUCGAAUCUUUGAACGCACAUUGCGCCCCUUGGUAUUCCAGGGGGCAUGCCUGUUUGAGCGUCAUUUCCUUCUCAAACAUUCUGUUUGGUAGUGAGUGAUACUCUUUGGAGUUAACUUGAAAUUGCUGGCCUUUUUCAUUGGAUGUUUUUCUUUUUCCAAAGAGAGGUUUCUCUGCGUGCUUGAGGUAUAAUGCAAGUACGGUCGUUUUAGGUUUUACCAACUGCGGCUAAUCUUUUUUAUACUGAGCGUAUUGGAACGUUAUCGAUAAGAAGAGAGCGUCUAGGCGAACAAUGUUCUUAAAGUUUGACCUCAAAUCAGGUAGGAGUACCCGCUGAACUUA